UGCCGCAGCUAACGCAUUAAGUAUUCCACCUGGGGAGUACGAUCGCAAGGUUGAAACUCAAAGGAAUUGACGGGGGCCCGCACAAGCAGUGGAGCAUGUGGUUUAAUUCGAUGCAACGCGAAGAACCUUACCUAGGCUUGAAAGGCAAGUGACAGGGUAUGAAAGUACCACUCCAGCAAUGGCACUUGUACAGGUGAUGCAUGGCUGUCGUCAGCUAGUGCCGUGAGGUGUUGGGUUAAGUCCCGCAACGAGCGCAACCCCUACUAUUAGUUGCCACCAGGUUAUGCUGAGCACUCUAAUAGGACUGCCUACGCAAGUAGUGAGGAAGGUGGGGAUGACGUCAAGUCCGCAUGGCCCUUACGCCUAGGGCCUCACACGUGCUACAAUGGGUGUUACAAUGGGUAGCGAAACCGCAAGGUGGAGCCAAUCCCCUAAAAGCAUCCUCAGUUCGGAUUGGAGUCUGCAACUCGACUCCAUGAAGUUGGAAUUGCUGGUAAUCGUGGAUCAGCACGCCACGGUGAAUACGUUCCCGGGCCUUGUACACACCGCCCGUCAAGCCAUGGAAGCCGAGGGUACCCAAAGCCAGCGUCCUAACCGCAAGGAGGGAGCUGUUUAAGGUAAAAUCGG
rnacentral:rRNA from 1 species